GACGACCGCUGGCGGCGUGCUUAACACAUGCAAGUCGAACGGAAAGGCCCUGCUUUUGUGGGGUGCUCGAGUGGCGAACGGGUGAGUAACACGUGAGUAACCUGCCCUUGACUUUGGGAUAACUUCAGGAAACUGGGGCUAAUACCGGAUAGGAGCUCCUGCUGCAUGGUGGGGGUUGGAAAGUUUCGGCGGUUGGGGAUGGACUCGCGGCUUAUCAGCUUGUUGGUGGGGUAGUGGCUUACCAAGGGUUUGACGGGUAGACGGCAUGAGAGGGUGACCGGCCACAUUGGGACUGAGAUACGGCCCAGACUCCUACGGGAGGCAGCAGUGGAGAAUAUUGCACAAUAGGCGGAAGCCUGAUGCAGCAACGCCGCGUGCGGGAUGACGGCCUUCGGGUUGUAAACCGCUUUCGCCUGUGACGAAGCGUGAUUGACGGUAAUUAAUAAAGAAGCACCGGCUAACUACGUG
rnacentral:rRNA from 1 species